rnacentral:rRNA from 1 species
AGAACGAACGCUGGCGGCAUGCCUAACACAUGCAAGUCGAACGCUCAUCCGGCUUCGGCCGGAUGGGAGUGGCGCACGGGUGAGUAGCGCGUGGGAACCUGCCCUGUUGUGGGGGAUAACCGAGGGAAACUUCGGCUAAUACCGCAUGCGCCCCGGCGAAAGCCGGGGGAAAGAUUUAUCGCAGCAGGAGGGGCCCGCGUCGGAUUAGGUAGUUGGUGGGGUAACGGCCCACCAAGCCGAUGAUCCGUAGCUGGUCUGAGAGGAUGAUCAGCCACACUGGGACUGAGACACGGCCCAGACUCCUACGGGAGGCAGCAGUGGGGAAUAUUGGACAAUGGGGGCAACCCUGAUCCAGCAAUGCCGCGUGAGUGAUGAAGGCCUUAGGGUUGUAAAGCUCUUUCGCCCGCGACGAUGAUGACGGUAGCGGGAGAAGAGCCCGGCUAACGUCGUGCCAGCAGCCG